UCUAGUCUCUCAUAGAAACUUCUGGCCUCUGGACACUGUGGGAGCAACUUUUCCUUUAUUAGACUGUCUCCUCUUUAACUGGAAUAUUGCAGCAUGACUGGGAAGCCUGUCCUUCAUUACUUCAAUUGAAGAAGAAGAAUGGAGUCCAUCCGGUGGCUCCUGGCAGCAGCUGGAGUAGAGUUUGAGGAAGAACUUUUUGAAACCCAUGAAGAGUUUGAGAAGUUAAUCCAAGGUGGAACCCUGAUAAGAGAAGGAGAUGAACCUUGAAUACAUCCUCCACCGAGCUACAACAAGAUUCUUCCCCGUUUAUGAGAAGGCCCUGAGAGACCACGGGCAAGACUUUCUUGUGGGCAAUCGGCUGAGCUUGGCUGAUGUCCAGCUCCUUGAAGUCAUCUUAAUGGCUGAAGAAUGCAAAGCCAGUGUUCUCUCGGGUUUCCCUCUGCUACAGGACUUCAAGGUGAGAACCAGCCAAAUUCCUACAAUUAACAGCUUCCUCCAACCUGGAAGCCAGAGGAAGCCUCCUUUGGAGGAGCGAUCCAUUGGGACUGCAAAGGACAUAUUCAAAUUUGAAUGAGGACUGUUUCUUAAAAACAUGAGCAAUAUAGUAGCUGAGUAUUAACAGCUACAGAGGCUGGAGUUACUCAGUAAGUAUACUGAGUAACUUGACACUGCAUUCAUAAAAAGACACUCACUAAGUAUAUGGCCAGAGAAAUAUCCUGAAGUUAGUAAUAAAUGUUAGGAAUCUUAGUAUGUUAGCAAUGUUAGAAUGUUAGUAAUGGAAAUAUUAAAUGUGUAAGAGAAAAACUACUAGAAGCUUAUCAAUAAACUACAAGAACCAACUCUUGUUUGAAGUAAGACAGGCUACCAAGACAGAAUUCAGAAAAUCCAAGGAGCCCUCGGCCUUCUGUAUGAUCCUAGAAUAAACUUGUAUGUAGCAAGUGAAA
rnacentral:lncRNA from 1 species